GUAGAGCAAGGCGUCCGACCGCCGCUUGAUCACGGAACUUGCAGGUCAGACGCCUGAUGACACUCAAGCGCCCACCUCUCUUCUAAGCGCUUGGCCGCAGGUUCGAGUCCUGCCGGGG
rnacentral:tRNA from 1 species